AACCUGCAUGUCACAAUAGCAACCCUAACAAAAGCGUUGACCAAUUUUGUUUGCAGUAAGUGCUUUUUGUUGGGGUAGCUGUUAAAGG
rnacentral:pre_miRNA from 1 species